CUACGGGAGGCUGCAGUGGGGAAUAUUGGACAAUGGGGGCAACCCUGAUCCAGCAAUACCGCGUGUGUGAAGAAGGCCUGAGGGUUGUAAAGCACUUUCAGUGGGGAGGAAAAAAGGCCGGCCAACACCCGGCCUGUUGACAUUACCCACAGAAGAAGCACCGGCUAACUCCGUGCCAGCAGCCGCGGUAAUACGGAGGGUGCGAGCGUUAAUCGGAAUUACUGGGCGUAAAGCGUGCGUAGGCGGUGCGUUAAGCCAGAUGUGAAAGCCCCGGGCUCAACCUGGGAAUUGCAUUUGGGACUGGCGCGCUGGAGUUUGGUAGAGGGGGGCGGAAUUCCGGGUGUAGCGGUGAAAUGCGUAGAUAUCCGGAGGAACACCAGUGGCGAAGGCGGCCCCUUGGACCAAAACUGACGCUGAGGCACGAAAGCGUGGGUAGCAAACAGGAUUAGAUACCCUCGUAGUC
rnacentral:rRNA from 1 species